rnacentral:tRNA from 1 species
ACAGUGGUGGUUCAGUGGUAAAAUUCUCACCUUCCACGCGAGAGAUCUGGGUUCGAUUCUCGGCCAGUGCA